rnacentral:rRNA from 1 species
UUAAAAAAAUUAUUAAAUUGAAAUAAAUAAAAUAUUUUUGUGUUUAAUUAAUUAUAAAUGAAAAAAUUAAAUUUAUGAUAAAUAAUUAGUAUAGUGAUAGAAUUUUAUUAAAAUUUAUUAAGAAUAAUUAAUUUUUAGUACCUUGUGUGUCAGGGUUUAUUAAAUAAAUUUUAAAGAUUUAAUUUUCUCGAUUUUAAAAGAGUUAAUUAUUUAUAUAUUUUAUUGUAAAAUAAAUAUUUAAAAUAAAUAAUUAGUAAUGAAACGUUAUUCGUUUUUAAAUAUAUCUAGUUUUUAAAGAACAAAAUUUAAUUUUUUGUUUAUUAAUGUUGAAUAUUUAUUUUUAAAUAUUCAAUUUAAUAUAUUUUAUAUUAUUAGGGAUUAGCUUUGUAAUAUAUUAUUAUAAAUAAUUAUAUUUUAAACUAAAAUGUAGAAUUAGAAUUUUUCAUCAAAUAAUAUGUUUUAAUUAAUUGGUUUUUUAUAAAAAUUUAUAUUUAUUUUAAUUUUUUUAUUUAAAAAUUAAAUUUAAUAAAGAAUUUUAAGUUAUAAUGAUAAAAUUAGUAUAAAUUAAUGUUAAAUAAUUUUGAUUUUUAUAUUAUAAAAAGGAAUUCGACAAAUAAAUUUUUCGCCUGUUUAUUAAAAACAUGUCUUUUUGAAUUUAAUUUAAAGUCUAACCUGCCCAAUGAAAAUUUUAAUGGCCGCAGUAUUUUGACUGUGCAAAGGUAGCAUAAUCAUUAGUUUUUUAAUUAAAAACUGGAAUGAAGGGUUGAACGAGAAAAUAAUUGUCUCUUUAUAAUUUUUUUAGAAUUUUAUUUUUAAGUUAAAAAGCUUAAAUAUAUUUAAAAGACGAGAAGACCCUAUAGAGUUUUAUAUAAUAAAAAUUAAUUUUUAAUUUGAAUAUUUAUAUUUUAAUUUUUAAAAAUAUUUAAUUGGGGUGAUUAAAAAAAUUAAUUAACUUUUUUUUUAUUUUAACAUUUAUUAAUGAAUAAUUGAUCCAUUUUUAUGAUUAAAAGAUUAAAUUACCUUAGGGAUAACAGCGUAAUUUCUUUUAAGAGUUCUUAUCAAUAAAGAAGUUUGCGACCUCGAUGUUGGAUUAAAAAAUAUUUAUGGUGUAGAAGCUAUAAAAUUAGGUCUGUUCGACCUUUAAAAUUUUACAUGAUCUGAGUUUAAACCGGUGUGAGCCAGGUUGGUUUCUAUCUUUAAUAAAAUUUAAUAUUUUAGUACGAAAGGACCAAAUAU